CCAAUGUUGAGGUCAUCGCUUGGUAUGACCAUGAGAGAGCAGCCAUCUCUCCUGCAGUUUCCCCGCAUGUCUCCUUGCGGACUAGGCUGCAUUGCUGGGCUCCGGUUUCUGUGGGUGUUCAAAGGGGUUAUUUUAGGAACUGCUUCCUUAGUGCUGCAGUCUGCUCUUGAUUAUGUGCUGCUUGCGGUAGGGUAAAUGCAGUUUAAACUGAUUUAGAGUAGUUGAUGGCAGGAGCCCUUAGAAAACACGUCCGGUCAUGUUGAGAGUCACUCCCUGCCCC